CUGCAGGGCUAAGUAGGGGGCUUGUUAUACUAUAGUCUUCAUUUUAUUGUUAAUAACCU
ensembl:misc_RNA